UACUAAAUUAAUUAAAGAACCAUAUGCAUGAGAUAAUUGAUAAGUACACACACAUUUUCCCCUCCCUGUUAACAACAGAGUAUCUGCACCCACUUGAAUCAAGAUAACAUAAUCUAUACUACAACGUAACCUUCCCCCUGCAAUCACAUUAUUAUCGCAUGUAAAUAUAUAUAUGGAUCACUAGUUCUAGUUUUAUCGAUAUAUACUUUGGUAAACUACAUAUAUAAAUUAAGUUGUGGGUGACACUGACAUCCAUCAUCUCUCUUUCUCUCCCCCCAUUAUAAAUAGGGAAGUCAUCUCCUUGAAGCUAGCUGGCCUAAGCUAACUCAAUCAAACCUCCCUAGCUUGGCAGAAUAGUUAAUGUUAAUCACCUGAUUAAAAUUAGAUUAGUCCCCUCCUACCCAGCUAACUACUGCUUCUAUUUCACGGAGAAAAAUGUCUUCCUAGGCUUUCUCUUUCAGCUCGAUCGAUCCACAGCUCAGCUAGCUCUCUCUCUCUCUAGCGACAAGCAAGCAUGGAGCAGCUGUUCGUCGACGACCCAGCCUUCGCGAGCAGCAUGUCGUCGCUUGAGGCGGACAUCUUCUCCGGCGCCGGCCAGCUGCCGUCCUCGCCGUGGCUGGACCUAGACCUCGACGACGAUGUCCAAGACCUCUCCAUGGCGCCGACGACGGCGAACGCGGUGUCCUCCGGCUACGGCUCCGGCGGAUCCGGCUCCCACAGGAAGCUCAGCCACAACGCCUACGAGCGCGACCGCCGGAAGCAGCUCAACGAGCUCUACUCCUCCCUCCGCGCUCUCCUCCCCGACGCCGAUCACACUAAGAAGCUGAGCAUCCCGACGACGGUGUCUCGCGUGCUCAAGUACAUACCCGAGCUGCAGAAGCAGGUGGAGAAUCUGGAGAGGAAGAAGAAGGAGCUGACGACGACGAGCACCACCAACUGCAAACCAGGAGUGUUGGGGAGCCAGCUGAUGAGCGAGGGCAUGGCUCCCAUCGUUUCGGCUACCUGCAUCAAUGACAUGGAGAUCAUGGUUCAGGUCAGCUUGUUGAGCAAUGUGGCGGGUUCAGUUCUUCCUCUCUCCAAGUGUAUCAAAGUACUGGAGAACGAAGGUCUUCACUUCAUCAGUUCAUCGACUUCCUCCGGAUUUGGGAACAGGACAUUCUACAGUAUCCAUCUUCAGAGAAGUGAAGGAACGAUCAACGAGGAGUGCCCAGCAUUUUGUGAAAGGUUGGAGAAAGUCGUCAGGAACAAAGCAAAGCUUUAAGCACUAGUACCGCGCGCGCGUGCCUAUGAUAAUCCUGAAUUAAUCAAGGGCCAAAAUCUAGUAUGUACUAGCAGAAGUAAAUGUACUUGCGCGCUCUGUACUAGCAACCAGGAGCAAGCUGAUCGUACUCACAUGCAACAAGUUUGUGGAUAAGGCGUACUCCUACGUUUUUGCAGUUAAUUAACAUAAAUAGGGCGAGAGAGGAGGAUUAGUGUAAUUAUAUAUGCAAAGACUAAAGACCUUUCCUGCAAAUAUUUCUGAGGAUGUCGAAGGUGUUAUCAAAAAGUGUCUUUUCCAUUGCAAUUCCAGACUAGGCACAAAUUAAAUUUCGUAGGCUUUGGGGGCUUUCUGCGUGUUAUGAGGACCAAUAAUGAGGUCUCAUCCUAGCUAAUUUGCUGAAAUCGGCCGAGAUCUUAUAGCAGACCAUAUGGACCGCAUCAUAGCAUGAACUAUGCUUAGGUUUGGCUCUUACUUUAACCGGGUAAAGAGUUGAAUCGUACCAAACAUGUCACGAGCCACAUCCAAAUUUGAUUUUUUUUUCGCAAACGUGCAAAAAAAUUGCACGUCAAUAUAUUAGAAGAAGAGAGCAUAGUUUAAUUACACAACACACACGGUCAGAAGGCCGUUGCCAGGGGUCAAAGAAAAAAAGAAAAAAAACAGAUAAGCUACUAAGAAAGUAAAAACUCAUAUCGCAAGAGAGGGUGGGGUAGGGGGUCCUACUACACUCUGGCCUGCGCCAGAGGCAGCGAGUCGGAGAAGAGAGAAGAGAAGGUCAUUGCGUGAUCUGGAGGGAGGGGUUGAGAGAAGAGGCCGUUGUAAGCCGCAACAGCCUCAGUUGACACAGGACCCUUCUCAGACACCAUUCCAAGCUUGCGCUUCAGAUUGUGCUAGGCGCGUGAGGUCAUGUCACUCGGGCAGGCGAGCGCGAGCUUGGCCGCAAUCCUCUUGCUACUUUUCGGCACUUCUUCCACGGUGGCAUGCAAUUCGUGGAUCCGGUGGCACUAAUACAGUUUUGAGAUUUCGUGGAUGAUUUCAUCUAAAUGAAGUCCAGGAUCUGGUGGCGAUUCUAUCUAUAUUGAAGUCCAUGACAUUUAUACUCUCUUUGUUUCAGACUAUAAAUUCAUUUUGACUUUAGUCAAAGUCAAACUACUUUAAGUUUAGUUAAGUUUAUAAAGAGAUAUAGUACUCAUAUUUACAGCACCAAAUUAGUUUCAUUAAAUCAAUAAUUGAAUAUAUUUAUCUUGGGCUAAAAUGUUACUAUUUUUUCAUUAAACUUAAUUAAACUUAAAACAAUUUAACUUUGACAAAAACCACAAUGACUUAUAGUCUGAAAUGGAGGAAGUAUCGUUUAAUUUGAGACUUUGAAUACUUAAUUUACAAAGAAGUGUGUAUUUGUGCCGUGUUUUCUCGCUCUAUAUAUAUCGCAGUUUCACCCAUCUAAUUAGUUGAACAGUGCGUCUUAAUCUCAAUCUCCAUUCGCCAAUUGACUGUACAUGUCUGAAUGGAAUCCUUCUAUGUAUUAUCUGCACAGCUAGAAUCCUACAACUAGCGUAGUGUGGUGGUGGUCGUCUUCGAGUUCGACGCGCCGCCGCCGCCGCUCAUCGCGACGACAAGAGCCUCGCCAGCGUCCGCAGUAGCAGCUUCCUAGUCUUGUUGCACUCCGAGAUCGUCUCCAGCCUCGGCGACCACGGCUGGUUCCUCCGCCCCAUCAGCAGCGCGUAAUGCCGCUUCAGCUCCGGCGUGCUGCACAGCUCCGUCGCCGUCGCCGUCGCCGUCGUCGACGGCUUCCGGCGGCGCGCACCGCCGCCGUUCUCGUCGCAGCUGAUCACCUUCUCGAUGAACUCCGGGAGGACUCGGAUGAGCGUGGCGCCGCCCUCGCCCUUGACGUACUCGAACGGGCACUGCCCCGGCCCAGCCACGGACACCUUCUUCGACGGCGCCGGCGACAGCGACGCGAGCGCCGCGGCGGUGAGCACCUUGAAGCAGGAGAAGCGCUCGGCGGGGAGGACGAAGUACGUCCGCCCCGCCAUCAGCUCCUCGCCGGCGGACACCACCGGGAUCGGGAGGCCGACGUAGAAGGAGUCGGCCGCGCAGACGACGUGGUCACCGGGGAGCUCCGCCGUGACGUCCCCCGCCACGGCGCACACCCCGCCAUCGUCGUCCAGCAUCCUCGUCUGCCCGCCCCAGUACACCAGCUUCACCCCCGCCGCCGCCGUCGCCGGCAGGUGCAUGCACGGGGAGAGGCCGUUGCCCAUGGCAACUGAUGUGUCUAGAACCUUCUAGAACGAGCUCGAGCUUGCAGAUGGAAGAAGAGGAGAAGAGGAGAUGCUUGUGUGAAUU